AACAUACUCCCUCCGUUCCGAAUUACUUGUCUUGGAUUUGUCUAGAUACGGAUGUAUCUAAUGAGUCUAGAUACAUCCGUAUCUAGACAAAUCCAAGACAAGUAAUUCGGAACAGAAGGAGUACCAU
rfam:Triticum urartu cultivar G1812 contig593671, whole genome shotgun sequence.